UAGGGAAUCUUCCGCAAUGGACGCAAGUCUGACGGAGCAACGCCGCGUGAGUGAAGAAGGAUUUCGGUUCGUAAAACUCUGUUGUUAGAGAAGAACAGCGCAUAGAGUAACUGUUAUGCGUGUGACGGUAUCUAACCAGAAAGCCACGGCUAACUACGUGCCAGCAGCCGCGGUAAUACGUAGGUCCCGAGCGUUGUCCGGAUUUAUUGGGCGUAAAGCGAGCGCAGGCGGUUAGAUAAGUCUGAAGUUAAAGGCAGUGGCUCAACCAUUGUAGGCUUUGGAAACUGUUUAACUUGAGUGCAGAAGAGGAGAGUGGAAUUCCAUGUGUAGCGGUGAAAUGCGUAGAUAUAUGGAGGAACACCAGUGGCGAAGGCGACUCUCUGGUCUGUAACUGACGCUGAGGUUCGAAAGCGUGGGUAGCAAACAGG
rnacentral:rRNA from 1 species